rnacentral:rRNA from 1 species
UACGUAGGGUGCAAGCGUUGUCCGGAAUUAUUGGGCGUAAAGAGCUCGUAGGCGGUUUGUUGCGUCGGCUGUGAAAUCCCGAGGCUCAACCUCGGGUCUGCAGUCGAUACGAGCAAACUAGAGUGUUGCAGGGGAGACUGGAAUUCCUGGUGUAGCGGUGAAAUGCGCAGAUAUCGUAAGGAAGACCAGUGGCGAAGGCGAGUCUCUGGACAGCAACUGACGCUGAGGCACGAAGGCCAGGGGAGCAAACGGG